rnacentral:rRNA from 1 species
GACGAACGCUGGCGGCGUGCUUAACACAUGCCAGUCGAACGGUGAAGCGCCUUCCUUUUUGGUGUGUGUGGAUGAGUUGCGAACGGGUGAGUAACACGUGAGUAAUCUGCUCUUUUCUUCUGGAUAACCUCAUGAAAGUUUGGCUAAUACGGGAUAUUCUGUGUCUGUCGCAUCAUGGGUCUGUGAAAGCUAUUGUUUCGGUGUGGGAUGGGCUCGCGGACUAUCAUCUUGUUGGUGGGGUGAUGGCCUACCAAGGCGGUGUCGGGUAGCUGGGCUGGGAGGGUCGACGGCCACAGUGGGAAGGAAAGGUGGAGAAGACUACGGGGGGAGGCAGUAGGGAAGAAUAGAGAACGGGGGGAGGAAGGAUGAUGCAACGACGCGGGGUGAGAGAUGGAGGCCUGGGGGUUGUGAACCUCUGUCGCGAGAGAAGAGCGGCAGCUUCGUGUGUGGGUGGGUUGACGGUAGCUGGAGAAGAAGCGCCGGCUAACUACGUG